rnacentral:rRNA from 1 species
UUACGGGAGGCAGCAGUGGGGAAUAUUGGACAAUGGGCGCAAGCCUGAUCCAGCCAUGCCGCGUGAGUGAAGAAGGCCUUAGGGUUGUAAAGCUCUUUUAGUGGGGACGAUAAUGACGGUACCCACAGAAUAAGCCCCGGCUAACUUCGUGCCAGCAGCCGCGGUAAUACGAAGGGGGCUAGCGUUGUUCGGAAUCACUGGGCGUAAAGCGCAUGCAGGCGGACUGAUCAGUCGGGGGUGAAAGCCCGGGGCUCAACCUCGGAACUGCCUUCGAUACUGUCAGUCUUGAGUCCGGGAGAGGUGAGUGGAAUUCCUAGUGUAGAGGUGAAAUUCGUAGAUAUUAGGAAGAACACCAGUGGCGAAGGCGACUCACUGGCCCGGUACUGACGCUCAGAUGCGAAAGCGUGGGGAGCAAACAGGAUUAGAUACCCUGGUAGA